GAGCAGCAGAGUGAAAAAUCUGUCUCCCCACUGAUUGCUGGAGCGGACUUGGCUGAUCUGGCUGUCUACGUGAAUUUUUCAUCUCUCCUCACAACAUUUUUCUGCAAAUCUCACAAACUUGCACGCUGAGACAAGGAGUUCUAUGCUCCAUGUCAGGUGAAAUCCUCCAAACAAGAUUCAGAUCCAUUUGUAGAACACAGAGCAGCCAACGCUCCGAGUCUUGAGACAUAUGCAAAUGAAGGGCCGUGUACUGCAGUUUGCCUUUCACU
rnacentral:snRNA from 1 species